rnacentral:rRNA from 1 species
UACGUAGGCAGCAAGCGUUGUUCGGAAUUACUGGGCGUAAAGAGUGUGUAGGCGGUGCUCUAAGUUCGGUGUGAAAUCUCCCGGCUCAACUGGAGGGUGCGCCGGAACUGGAAUGCUUGAGCGUGGGAGAGGAAAGCGGAAUUCCUGGUGUAGCGGUGAAAUGCGUAGAUAUCAGGAGGAACACCUGUGGCGAAAGCGGCUCACUGGACCACAACAUGACGCUG